UGGGGAUAUAGCUCAGUUGAUAGAGUGCUUGCCUUGCAUGCACAGGCCUGGGUUCGAUCCCCAGAACUACAA
rnacentral:tRNA from 1 species